rnacentral:rRNA from 1 species
GAUGAACGCUAGCGGCAGGCUUAAUACAUGCAAGACGAGGGGCAGCAUGAUUGUAGCAAUACAAUUGAUGGCGACCGGCAAACGGGUGCGGAACACGUACACAACCUCCCAACAAGUGGGGGAUAGCCCAGAGAAAUUUGGAUUAAUACCCCGUAACAUAGCGAUGUGGCAUCACAUUGCUAUUAUAGAUUUUUCGCUUGUUGAUGGGUGUGCGGCUGAUUAGAUAGUUGGCGGGGUAACGGCCCACCAAGUCUACGAUCAGUAGCUGAUGUGAGAGCAUGAUCAGCCACACGGGCACUGAGACACGGACCCGACUCCUACGGGAGGCAGCAGUAAGGAAUAUUGGACAAUGGACGCAAGUCUGAUCCAGCCAUGCCGCGUGAAGGAUUAAGGUCCUCUGGAUUGUAAACUUCUUUUAUAAGGGACGAAAAAAGGCUUUUCUAAGUCGUCUGACGGUACCUUAUGAAUAAGCACCGGCUAACUCCGUGCCAGCCGCCGCAGUAAAAC